rnacentral:rRNA from 1 species
ACGCUCGACACCUACGGGAGCAGCAGUGGGGAAUAUUGCACAAUGGGGGAAACCCUGAUGCAGCGACGCCGCGUGAGUGAAGAAGUAUUUCGGUAUGUAAAGCUCUAUCAGCAGGGAAGAAAAUGACGGUACCUGACUAAGAAGCCCCGGCUAACUACGUGCCNGCAGCCGCGGUAAUCUGAGCGGGCUGGCAAGGC